rnacentral:rRNA from 1 species
AUUGAACGCUGGCGGCAUGCUUUACACAUGCAAGUCGAACGGCAGCGCGGGCGUCGGCCUGGCGGCGCGUGGCGAACGGGUGAGUAAUGCAUCGGAACGUGCCCAGGAGUGGGGGAUAGCGCGGCGACAGCCGGAUUAAUACCGCAUACGACCUGCGGUGGACAGCGGGGGACCGAAAGGCCUCGCGCUAUUGGAGCGGCCGAUGUCGGAUCAGCUAGUUGGUGGGGUAAAGGCUUACCAAGGCGACGAUCCGUAGCUGGUCUGAGAGGACGACCAGCCACACUGGGACGGAGACACGGCCCAGACUCCUACGGGAGGCAGCAGUGGGGAAUUUUGGACAAUGGGGGCAACCCUGAUCCAGCCAUGCCGCGUGCGGGAAGAAGGCCUGCGGGUUGUAAACCGCUUUUGUUCGGGAAGAAAUCCUCUGGGCUAAUACCCCGUGGGGAUGACGGUACCGGAAGAAUAAGCACCGGCUAACUACGUG